AGUCUCUUCACCAUUGUUUCAACAUGAAGGUUUGUAAUAAAAAUUUGUUUCUAUCAGCAUUGCUUUGCAUUGCUAUUGCAGGAGUUUUGGGUCAAGCUCCUAGUAAUCCUCCUACGUCUACGCCGGCGCCACCCACACCACCGGCUUCUACUCCUCCUCCGACGACUCAACCACCGCCUACACCAACCGCCACUCCGCCACCAGUUUCUACUCCUCUUCCCACUUCAUCACCGCCCCCAGUGACAGCUUCUCCACCCCCAGUUUCAACUCCUCCACCCAGUUCUCCUCCUCCCGCAACUCCACCACCUGCUUCUCCACCUCCUGCAACUCCACCUCCAGCUUCUCCACCUCCUGCAACUCCACCUCCAGCUUCUCCACCUCCCGCCACUCCUCCACCAGCAACCCCCCCACCUGCAACUCCUCCUGCUACCCCACCACCAGCUCCAUUGGCUUCUCCUCCAGCCACAGUCCCAGCUAUCUCUCCAGUACAAACACCAUUGACCUCGCCACCAGCUCCGCCGACCGAGGCCCCAGCACC
rnacentral:lncRNA from 1 species